CCUACGGGUGGCAGCAGUGGGGAAUAUUGGACAAUGGGGGAAACCCUGAUGCAGCAACGCCGCGUGAGUGAAGAAGUAUUUCGGUAUGUAAAGCUCUAUCAGCAGGGAAGAAGAUGACGGUACCAGAUUAAGAAGCCGCGGUUAACUACGUGCCAGCAGCCGCGGUAAUACGUAGGGGGCAAGCGUUAUCCGGAUUUUAUGGGUGUAAAGGGAGAGCAGACGGCAUUGGAAGGCUGGAGUGAAAGCCCGGGGCCCAACCCCGGAACUGCUCGUGAAACUGGGCGGCUAGAGUACUGGAGGGGCAGGCGGAAUUGCUAGUGUAGCGGUGAAAUGCGUAGAUAGUAGGAGGAACACCAGUGGCGAAGGCGGCCUCCUGGACAGUAACUGAUGUUGAGGCUCGAAAGCGUGGGGAGCAAACAGGAUGAGAUACCCCUGUAGUC
rnacentral:rRNA from 1 species